UGAACAGGAGGGGGAGCGACUGCCUUACCUUUCCCCUUUUCCCCUUCCCCCUCUCCUGGAGCAGGGGUCCGUGGGUCCUCUCGCCCCAUCAGUCAGGGAACCGAACCCAAAACCAUUGACACAACAACAGAAAAAUACAGAGAAAAAAAUACCUGGGGAGUUUUUCUCUGUGAGACAGAAGUGCUUGCUUAAUCCUGGAAAGAAUCCUGGACCGCUUCCUAUCUGGGAAGCAUCUUGGCAUCAUGAAUGGUUCAGCUCCCUGGAGUUUGUUCCUGAUCCUCAUGGAGAGUGGAGGCUCUGCAAAUUAGCGGCUUAUUCAGAAAGGAGAGCACUGUACUGCAACUGGAUUGUUAUUCUGCACUGUGAAAGGUCUGGAAAAGGCUUGUGGCUCACCAUUUGUUCUCCCUUGGGAUUCCAUGACCUAGAUGCUGGAAUUUCCUCUCUAAUGUGUGCUUUGUCACCGAGUUCGGCACUGAUGUCUUAAUGCCAUCUGAGAUAUUUCGAGAUACCCCCUCUGGCCUCUGGCUGCUCCUGAAGGGGUCCUGGAGCUGCUGUUCCCUACCUUUAAGAUACUCUACUGCAUCUCAAAAAGCACUGAACACCAAAGUCCAAGCCUUUGCCUUGUCCUGGGGAAGACAUCGUGUGUCAUUCAAGACUUUCCUUUGAUUACCUGUGGGUAAUGACAUUUCCCUGCCUCUGAGGGACUCUGGGAGAGGUAAUUAAGUCACUUAGUGUUUGUAGAGCAUUUUGAAGUUGACAAGUGCAAUUAUUAAAAGUUAUUUCACUAGAAACUUUGUGAUGGUGGCUCCCUAGUGAAAAGCCUGCCAAUUAAGUG